ensembl:snoRNA
GUUGAGGUCUACCCAAUGGGGCUUUUUCUGUAGACUGACAUCAUUGGAAAUGCCUUGCUGAGUAACUAUCUGGUUUGCUUUACUCACAGAACUAUUUGUUAGAUCCGUGGGAAAGAACUACAAGACAGAG